AUCCAGCAGACGAGUCUCAAAUAGGACGAAACGCGCGUCCUGGAU
rfam:Schistosoma margrebowiei strain Zambia genome assembly, scaffold: SMRZ_contig0001618